CCCAGGAGCUUUAAUAGUAACUUUUACCUAACUCCGCCAGGACUGGAAGGUAGCAACGGUAAGUAAAAUGUUAUUGUUUAAAGUACGCCUGGGUGU
rfam:Spirochaetaceae bacterium 4572_7 ex4572_7_scaffold_10037, whole genome shotgun sequence.